GUAGGUGGCAAGCGUUGUCCGGAAUUAUUGGGCGUAAAGCGCGCGCAGGCGGUUCUUUAAGUCUGAUGUGAAAGCCCACGGCUCAACCGUGGAGGGUUAUUGGAAACUGGAGAACUUGAGUACAGAAGAGGAAAGCGGAAUUCCACGUGUAGCGGUGAAAUGCGUAGAGAUGUGGAGGAACACCAGUGGCGAAGGCGGCUUUCUGGUCUGUAACUGGCGCUGAGGCGCGAAAGCGUGGGGAGCAAACAGGGAUUAGAUACCCUGGUAGUCCACGCCGUAAACGAUGAGUGCUAAGUGUUAGGGGGUUUCCGCCCCCUUAGUGCUGCAGCUAACGCAUUAAGCACUCCGCCUGGGGAGUACGGCCGCAAGGCUG
rnacentral:rRNA from 1 species